ACAAGGAGAUAUGGACGUUUUAAGGUCGAGAGGUCAGUGGACUAGGCCCAACUCGGGGCCAACCGGGUUAGGCCCAUGACAAAAAAAAAGGAGAAGAAGAGGCCCAAUAGGGGCCAUCCGGCCAUGGUCCAUAAAAAGGACCCAAGCCCAAGUGAAUUAUCCAUGUGAUAAUUAAUAUAAGGGACCAUUAAGUUGUCUUGAAACAUAUAGAAGUUUCAAGAAAUAAGACAAGGAGAAAAACAAAACAACAAGAGCAAAGAGAACAAGGCCAUUCGGCCAUGUCCAUGAAUUCUUGCCCCUUUGAAAUCUUCCUCCAAAAAUUAUUUUCUUGUGGUAUUCCUACUAAUUCAAGGGUCCUUUACAACUUGGUGUAGUUAUUUUGGAAGAAAGGGCACUUGUUUCAUCAAUUUAACAACUUAGUCAAGUGAAGAAGUUGGGAGAAAAAGAUUUUGGACGAAACGGGAUUUGAAUUUGGGGAGGCGUAAGGAGCGAAUAAGGUACAGACGAUCGAUUUGUUGAUCCGCCCGCUUAGGAUCCUAUUCUGCUAUCGUGGAGUGCUCCUUUGUCCGGAGCCUAUAUUUUGGGUACAGACUCUUCUGUUGCACAUAUGUAUGUUAUUCAGGGGUAUGACGGGGCCCUGUCCCGUCUUAUGAUUUGUUUGUUGUUCGUAGAGGUCUGAAGACAUACAUGUGGGUUGUGUAUAUGUUUUGGGUUGCUAUGUUCUAUGAUAGCCUUAUCGGCUUCCGUGCGAUAUGUCUGUUUGUCUGCGAUAAUUAGUAAAGCCAUUCGACUUCUGUAUCUGUAUAUUCUGGUUUGGGUUAUUGGAUACGUAUGGGUGUCCAGCACGGACACUAGUCGCGGCCUACGGGGUUGGCGACACAAGUAUCAUGGGCUAUUACUGUACUUCGCUUCACUUCGUCUGAAGACAUUAAUUUACAUUGUUGUUUGGACU